rnacentral:rRNA from 1 species
GACGAACGCUGGCGGCGUGCUUAACACAUGCAAGUCGAACGGAAAGGCCCUGCUUUUGUGGGGUGCUCGAGUGGCGAACGGGUGAGUAACACGUGAGUAACCUGCCCUUGACUUUGGGAUAACUUCAGGAAACUGGGGCUAAUACCGGAUAGGAGCUCCUGCUGCAUGGUGGGGGUUGGAAAGUUUCGGCGGUUGGGGAUGGACUCGCGGCUUAUCAGCUUGUUGGUGGGGUAGUGGCUUACCAAGGCUUUGACGGGUAGCCGGCCUGGGAGGGUGACCGGCCACAUUGGGACGGGGAUACGGCACAGACUCCUGCGGGAGGCAGCAGUGGGGAAUAUUGCACAAUGGUCGGAAGCCUGAUGCAGCAACGCCGCGUGCGGGAUGACGGCCUUCGGGUUGUAAACCGCUUUCGCCUGUGACGAAGUGUGAGUGACGGUAAUGGGUAAAGAAGCUCCGGCUAACUACGUG